rnacentral:rRNA from 1 species
UACGGGGGGAGCAAGCGUUGUUCGGAUUUAUUGGGCGUAAAGAGCGUGUAGGCGGCUAGAUAGGUCCGUUGUGAAAACUCGAGGCUCAACCUCGAGACGCCGGUGGAAACCAUCUAGCUAGAGUCCGGAAGAGGAGACUGGAAUUCCUGGUGUAGCGGUGAAAUGCGCAGAUAUCAGGAGGAACACCGGUGGCGAAGGCGGGUCUCUGGGCAACUACUGACGCUGAGGAGCGAAAGCGUGGGGAGCGAACAGG